UACGGAGGGGGCUAGCGUUGUUCGGAUUCAUUGGGCGUAAAGGGUGCGUAGGCGGCGCGGUAAGUCGGGUGUGAAAUGCCGGGGCUCAACCCCGGGACUGCGUCCGAUACUUCCGAGCUGGAGGUAGGUAGGGGGAGAUCGGAAUUCCUGGUGUAGCGGUGAAAUGCGCAGAUAUCAGGAGGAACACCGGUGGCGAAGGCGGAUCUCUGGGCCUUACCUGACGCUGAGGCGCGGAAAGCAUGGGGAGCGAACAGG
rnacentral:rRNA from 1 species